GAUGAACCAGCCUCACGUCCUGGCGCUCUUCACCCCACUUGCCCAUUCACCCCUACCUUGUGCCAGUCCCCAAAUUAGGCCAGUGGCUCCAUCCCAAGUCAGUCCCCCUACAACUCUUUGCUAUCCCCCUACACGUGUAGUCAAUUUACAAAUGGCACUUUCCUGAAGGAGGAGUCAUUUUCGUACAUUCCAAGAAGUUUCUGCUCCCUGGGGGCCUCUGGGUCAGUGGAGGGCAUGAACUCAUCACCAUCCUGACACUGUUCUUAUCCAAGGGUUUCUAUCUGUGGCCAUCCUCUCUCUGCCUCUGCUUGGCCAAAGGCAAGCACCAGGAAGUAACCCUACCACACAGUUCUAUACUAUCUCACUUUAUCAUUUAAGCCCAGAAUAAAAUCAUAACUUGGUAUAACCAUUCAAUAUCCAUUUGACUUCUGCCUUUUUUUUGCAUGGGGGGUAGGGCUUCAGCACUUUUUAUUUGCUAAUGAGAUUAGGCACUCAGUAAAUGUUUGUUGAAUAAGUAGAUCCCCGGAUAUACAAUGUGGAGGGUAGGUUUUCAGGAGGAAGGUUCAGAUGAGAGGGUGAGGGGGUCCAGUACCAUUCUCCGAGUUAGAAAGGACAGGAAUAAAAAGUAGGUUUGGAUAUGGAAAUGAUGAAAUCAGUUUACAGCAUUUGGGAUUUGCAAUGACCCUGGGAUGUCCAAAACAAGCAAAAAGCCUAGCAAUUAGCCUUGAGAGGUGACUCCAAAGAGGGCUGACCUUUUCCAGGACACCAUUGCAUAAUGUCCCUGGAUAAUAACCACAUUUCCUACUGUGAACUUAAUCACAACUUAGGGGAAAACCUAUUAGCGUUAUUCAGUAAUGAAGGGAAGCAUUUCCUGCUACUUGCUGAUAGGUGAGAGUAGGUGACAGCCCAGAAGGAUGAAAAGAGGAAUCCUAUGCUGAAGAAAAGAUAGAAAUAAAACAUUUUAUGAUCUUAUGAUCAUAUUAUCCAAUAACAAUAGACUAUAUUUUUAGCUAAUCUUUGAACCACCUCCUUCUCACAAAGUUCUAAACAGGAAACAAAAUGCAACAUUUCCAAAAUCUUGGCUCGAUUUAAUAUUGGCAUCAUAUGACUUUGACAUUAGGGGCAAAGGAAGUAGAAUGAGAUGCAGGGAGGACUUUACAACAAUUUCAUUAAAUGGUUCAAAAGACUUCCUUUGGCAUUAAUCAAUUGUUUCAAGACAAUAAUUUGAUGACUUAAGAAUAAGUAAAUCAAAAGCAUAUGUAUCAAAUUUUCCUUGAAGUAUGCUAGGGUUCUAAAGUAAGGAAAACAGCAUUUGGCAAAAUUCAAUCUGCCUUUGCCAAACCUAAAGUGUUUGAAAAAAUAAUUUGAGAGGUUUUGCCAAACCCCACAUGCCUCUGUGUUCUUCCAUCCCACCCAGAUCUCCAAAAGUGCAAAACUCAUACAUCUACUCAGCAUUCCAAAUGACAGAUUCCAUCUCUGGAUUGGCAGGCACACUUGUUAUCUAUUGCUGUAGAACAAAUUACCCCAAAAUUUAGUGACUUAAAAAAAAACAUUAUUUCACAGUUUCUCGGGGUCAGGAAUUUGAGAGCAACUUAACUGUGGGGUUCUGUAUCAGAACCUCUCAUGAGGUUGCAGCCAAGAUGUUGGUCAGAGCUGCAGUUAUCUGAAGGCUUGACUGCAACUGGAAGAUCUGCUUCCAAGGUGGCUCAGUCACAUGUUGACAGGAGGCCUCAGAUGCUUGCUGGCUGUUGGCAUGUGAGCUCUGUUCCUUGCCAUGUGGACCCCUCCAUAGGCUGCUUGAGUGUCCUCAUGACUCAAGAACCAGUGAUCUAAACACAACGCCUGGAUCUGUGAUGUCUUGUUAUUAUCCUUUAUGCCCAUUUCAAACUGCUGAGAUUCUGGCACUAGUUUUCUUCUACAAAUUAGGCAUCUACUUCAUAGGCCCUACUGA
rnacentral:lncRNA from 1 species